rnacentral:rRNA from 1 species
CCUACGGGAGGCAGCAGUGGGGAAUCUUGCGCAAUGGGCGGAAGCCUGACGCAGCAACGCCGCGUGCGGGAAGAAGGCCUUAGGGUCGUAAACCGCUUUCAGGGGGGACGAAGCUUCCGGGGUUAAUAGCCUACGGGGUGACGGUACUCCCAAAAGAAGGUCCGGCUAACUACGUGCCAGCAGCCGCGGUAAUACGUAGGGACCGAGCGUUGUCCGGAAUCAUUGGGCGUAAAGAGCGUGUAGGCGGCUUGGUAGGUCUCGUGUGAAAUCCCGCGGCUCAACCGCGGAUCCGCACGGGAAACCCCUAAGCUCGAGUCCGGAAGAGGAGAGUGGAAUUCCUGGUGUAGCGGUGAAAUGCGCAGAUAUCAGGAAGAACACCCGUAGCGAAGGCGGCUCUCUGGGACGGUACUGACGCUGAGACGCGAAAGCGUGGGGAGCAAACAGGAUUAGAUACCCUGGUAGUCCACGCCGUAAACGAUGGGCGCUAGGUGUGGGAGGUGUCGACUCCUCCCGUGCCGAAGCUAACGCAUUAAGCGCCCGCCUGGGGAGUACGGCCGCAAGGCUAAAACUUAAAGGAAAUUGACGG